rnacentral:rRNA from 1 species
UACGAGUUUGAUCAUGGCUCAGGAUGAACGCUAGCGGCAGGCCUAACACAUGCAAGUCGAGGGGUAUAGUUCUUCGGAACUAGAGACCGGCGCACGGGUGCGUAACGCGUAUGCAAUCUACCUUUUACAGGGGAAUAGCCCAGAGAAAUUUGGAUUAAUGCCCCAUAGUGUUAUAGAAUCGCAUGGUUUUAUAACUAAAGUUCCAACGGUAAAAGAUGAGCAUGCGUCCCAUUAGUUAGUUGGUAAGGUAACGGCUUACCAAGACAAUGAUGGGUAGGGGUCCUGAGAGGGAGAUCCCCCACACUGGUACUGAGACACGGACCAGACUCCUACGGGAGGCAGCAGUGAGGAAUAUUGGACAAUGGGCGCAAGCCUGAUCCAGCCAUGCCGCGUGCAGGAAGACGGUCCUAUGGAUUGUAAACUGCUUUUGUACAGGAAGAAACACUCCCUCGUGAGGGAGCUUGACGGUACUGUAAGAAUAAGGAUCGGCUAACUCCGUG